rnacentral:lncRNA from 1 species
UAUUGUAACUAAAAGCACGUGAAUUUACAAAAUCCUGGAAGAGAUCAAGGUCUAUCAAAAGUAGAACAGGGCAGCAAGGCAAACAUACAACCAUAUUUUUUGCAUUUUUUAUGUGAAGGACAACCUUGACCCAAAAAUAGACAUGAAACCAGGAAAAGGCUAAACUCACAUUAACUUUUAACCUGAAGAAACAACAAGACAACAAAAAAGAUAAGAAGACAGAAAAAUAAAGGCUCACGAUAUUCAAAGUUU